UAGGGAAUCUUCGGCAAUGGACGAAAGUCUGACCGAGCAACGCCGCGUGAGUGAAGAAGGUCUUCGGAUCGUAAAACUCUGUUGUUAGAGAAGAACAAGGACGUUAGUAACUGAACGUCCCCUGACGGUAUCUAACCAGAAAGCCACGGCUAACUACGUGCCAGCAGCCGCGGUAAUACGUAGGUGGCAAGCGUUGCCCGGAUUUAUUGGGCGUAAAGCGAGCGCAGGCGGUUUCUUAAGGCUGAUGUAAAAGCCCCCGGCUCAACCGGGGAAGGUCAUUGGAAACUGGGAGACUUGAGUACAGAAGAGGAGGGUGGAAUUCCAUGUGUAGCGGUGAAAUGCGUAGAUAUAUGGAGGAACACCAGUGGCGAAGGCGGCUCUCUGGUCUGUAACUGACGCUGAGGCUCGAAAGCGUGGGGAGCAAACAGG
rnacentral:rRNA from 1 species